AGCUGCAGUUUCCCUCCUUAAUGGAAGAACCUGUCCAGGGCUCUGGAGCAAAGGAUAUGAUCUCCAAAUCCUGUUCCAAGUUGGACCUGAAUAAGAAUGCCGACAUGUUCUGAGGGUCCAUUGGUCAUGGAUGUGGGAGAUCCACAUAACUAAUAAGAAUAAUGAUGACCAUAAUAAUAAAAUGAUGGAAAUGGAAAAGACAACCACAAAAAAUCAGAAGUGGAUUUUGCAAAGUAACAAAGAAUAGAAUGUGGCUCUAAAGAAGAGAUAUGAAAAGACACUCUGACUACAUCCAUUUGCAGAGGAUUCCUGCACUGGAGCCAGUCGUAAUGAGAAGAGAUUGUUAAAUGAACAUUUACACCAAGAAAUUGAAAUUACAAAUGCUAUAAGAUUGGGGCUCAAUUGUUUUGUUGAUUGUCUAGACUUAAGAAAGUGAUGGUGAAAAUUUUA